CACCGGCGGCGCGGCGGCCGGCCGUAUACGUUGCGUUGGUGUGAGCUGUUGAAUCUACAUCUAGGCAUUGAUCAGGAUGGCCGAACUGGAGAACAUUUUAAAAGAUUUCGGGGAGGAAAUAAUUAAGAUAUUGAAAGGUUAACUGGUCAUGGAUGAAGCACACAGUUCCCACUGCAGCAAAUAAGGGGAAAAUUAUCCAAUUUUUUCGAAGACACUACUGCUGUCUGCUUAUCGUCAAAUGAUGCUGAAGAAAAGGACAGACAUGAUCAUUACAGACUUCAUCACCACGUUUCCAAGGAUACAAGAGAUGCCAGAACUUAUCAACUUGGACUUUGAAACAGAACAUGGGCACCUUCCUGACAACUUUAUUUCAAAGUGGGAGUCGUUCUACCGAGACCGUAUAAUAAAAUUAGGUUUGAGCGGGUAUCCAGCGGUAAAAGAAUCAAUUCAACAGUUUUCGGAAGGUGACAACAGAGACCUGUGUGAUUGCACUGCUGCUGAUGUUACAUAAGCCACUGACAAAGACCAAGAACCCCACCUCGAGUUCAAGAGCAUCGAGUUUGGAGCACUUUAUCCAGUACAGACCUAUUGGGGCAGAUGUUGAAGCGGCAGCAGCUGGGAAGUCUGCUGAGUUUCGGCAGCCCUAUAUUCUAGCCCUUGGACACAGACGCAAGCCAGUACAAUAUUUCUUGAUUGCAGACAAGGUAGUGAUUGAAGCGGGACAGAAUGUGAUGGAAGCCACUGACAGGCUUUUUCAGUCUCAUGUAUUUGGAGUCCAUUUUGCCCAAGUAAUUCAAAAUUUCUGGAAGUUCAUGGCAUCUGAAGUGUACAGGGUCAUGCAGGCAUCUAAUACCAAAGCCUCUGUGAGAAGUAUGGCGUUAUCGAUCCGAAAUUAAAAGUUAACCGUGCAGUAGCUUGGACAACAAAACUAAGCUGCUGUCGGGGACAGGCUUCUCACUCACCUUACAUUUGUAAUUCAUAAGCACUUUUGCUGUCUUGAUGAACAUGACAGAGAAUAGUUUCUCUAAGGCUGUUAUUUCGGAUUUUGUACAUAAAUCUGAAAAUAAUAAAAUAUGAAAAUAAGAGAUGUUUUGUACAGAUUCCAAAUGGUAUAAAUAUACGCUGAGUGAGAAAAUGUUGUUCAUAUAGGAAGGCAGCUAAAUUAGUGGUUAGUUUAUGCCAGAACAAUGAGCCCUUGUAUGAAAUUAUCUGAAUUAAGAUGAGUUAUGAUGUACACAUGUUCCGAGACAAAAGAGUUUGUUGACUACUUGUGGUGUGAGCCUAAGGGUUGAAAAGAAAUGUUUAUUAUACCAGCGCAAAACGAAGUUUGAAGGGGUAUAUAGUAAUCAGCGUAUAGUUGGGCGGUCUGUUGCAAAUCUUGCGGAUCAAUCUUCUUCCUCAUUUUUCAACCAAUACUCGUGAAAAAUUGGCACAUAGAUUAGACUUGUUGUGAGGAUGUGCAAGACACAUUUUUCUUAAGUGUUGGAAACUGCGUUUUCGGGGUAACGGCAUGUAUUGGCAUAAAAUUUGGUAAAAAUCUUGCGGAUCGAACUACUUCAGUUUUCAACCAAUUCAUGAAAUUUGGCACAUGUAUUGGUCUGCGUGUCAGGAUGUGCAGACACAUUUUUCACAAAAAUAUCUUGAAGACAAGGUGAUAUCUAGUUUUAUAUUACAUUGCUGAGAGUGAUUUAUUAUUCAUGAGUCAAAAGGUAAAGAAUCAAGCAGAAUUUACAGGGUUUCUUAUUAAGACAUAACGACAAAUUUAACCCUAAAUAGACUGGGGAGGGGGAGGGUGAAAGGCCCCCCUUGAAUUUUUUUUUGCAAUAAAUCUGUGUCGAUAAAUCUCAUGCAACUUUUGAGACCAAAUUUGCGACGCCUGGGUAUUUAAUUAUGCUUAAUUAUGUAAGUGCCAAAAGUCCGAAAAUUGCUCAAAAUGCAAAUUCUGUUUGUAGGCAAAAUUCAUACUGUUCUCUUUACUUUUACUGAUUAAAAUCAAUUUCAUGUUGUUUAGGAUCAUAAAAUUAUUGCCGACAAUUUCCAUCCCAAAAAAGUGUAAAACAAAGAAAUACAUAUGAAAUUUCAAAAACAAUUAAAUACUUAAAACUCUUUGAUACUAAUUUUAAUGUACAUUUGGUCAGAAUCUCACAGGGAGUCUCUAAACAAAAGAUUAGCGGUACAAGGGCCUUUUAAUUUAAAACAGUCAAAUUCUAAUUUCAUGCAUAAAUUAGGAUAAUUAAAAACAAAUUAAUUUGAACAACUUUGAAACAAUCAAAUAGUAUACAGUUUUGUAGAUUAAGUCAUGGAUGACGUGCAUGACUAUGUUCGUUGCAAUUGUGCAAUCAACAAAGUCGAGAUUGGGCGGGGACCUUUAGGGCAUUUAACCCCCCCCCAACAGUAUUUCCAUCUUCCAAAAUACUCCAGUCUGAUUAAGGUUUAAUAAACUUUCAUUUUCAUAUUUUGCUCUUUUUGUCUCACCAGAACAAAGUUCAGCAGAGACUUAAUCGCGGUCCCUGUUGGUCUGUUACAACAAUCUGAAAGUUUUUGUUUAACUUGCUUUUAUUUCUGCAAUUUAUGAAUUCGAGUACACAUGACUAUUGGCGGCGGAGCAGAGGUUUAUCUUUUGUGUUUUGGGGACGGCUGUUGUUGCGCCCCCCCCCAAAAAAAAACACGAAAGAUAAUCCUCUGCUCCUCCGCCUAUGCACAUGACUAUAAUUAAUUAUGCCAUGAAGUUAUUUACUGAGACACUGAUUAGUGCUGAAAAAACAACUUGCAUUGUAAACUCUUUCAAUAUUAUACAUUGUCUGGUCACUUAUCCCUUCCUUAUUAUAUAUGAUAUAACUUAUUCUGUGUAUUUUUAUGAAUUCAUAUCAAAUCACAACACUUAAUAUCAUUAUUAUGAAGUUUGAAGGUGGUAUAUAGUAAUCAAAUGAAGUUUGAAGGGGUAUAAAUAUAGUAACCAAAUGAAGUUUGAAGGGGGUAUAUAGUAAUCAGCGUAUGGUCGGGCGGGCGGUCCAUUGCAAAUCUUGUGGAUCAAACUACUUCCACAUUUUUCAACCAAUACUCAUGAAAUUUUUGGCUCAUACUUUGCUCUUGGUGUGAGGAUGUUCAGGACACAUUUUCCACAUGUUUCGGAAACUGUUGCCAUGGAAACGGCAUGUUAUGUCAGAAAAUUUGGUAAAAAUCUUGCGGAUCGAAAUUACUUCCUCAGUUCUUAACCAAUUUGGCACAAACAUUUGUCUUGGUGUGAGGAUAUGCAAGACAUUUUUAACAUGUGUUGAAAAUCGUGUUGUCAUGGUAACAGCAUUUUUUGAUGGAGCGGGGGUAUUAAUCCCCUUUGGUGAUAUUUCUAGUUCACCUUAUAAUUGUACAGUAUAUUAAAUGUUUCUACUUUCAUUAUAUUGAGAAUUGAUUGUACAAUAGUCUUCAGACAAAAUCACAUUACACUCUAAUAUGUAUUGUUAAUGUAAAUGGAAUGUUAACUGAUGAAAUGUGUAUUGUUGCAAUCUAAAUAAUUCUGUGAAAGCAUUGAAUUUUGAAUUAACUGGUGAAAUGUUAUGAAAAUAAAGCUGUAAAAGCACC